rnacentral:lncRNA from 1 species
UAGUCUUCUGUUUUGCAGUUCCCUGAGGACCUCCUUUGACUCUCUGAAGCAGCGUAAGUUCCAACCAUCCCCACAUGGGCAGCAGGGCCAUUAGAGUCUCCUGGAAGACCCUCAGCCCUUGUAGAGGUGACUGAGUUAGGAGGUGUGCGCUUGGGCUGUGUGGUCCAGCUCUGAACCAGGCUGAAAGGCUGAUUGAUAGAGGAUGGAAGGGGUGGGAGGUGAAGAGGGAGGUGACAGACUGGUCCAGGCAGAGGCCACACUGUCACCCUAGAAACAGAGAAUGUGGGCAGUGCACACAUCCAGCUGGCCCUGGCCCUGCGUGAGGAGCUGCGGAGCCUGGAGGAGUUCCGAGAGAGACAGAAAGAACAGCGGAAGAAGUAUGAGGCCGUCAUGGACCGUGUCCAGAAGAGCAAGCUGUCGCUCUACAAGAAGACCAUGGAGUCCAAGAAGUCAUAUGACCAGAAGUGCAGGGACGCAGAUGACGCUGAGCAGGCCUUCGAGCGAGUGAGUGCCAGUGGUCACCAAAAGCAAAUAGAAAAGAGCCAGACCAAAGCCAAGCAGUGCAAGGAGUCGGCCACAGAGGCAG